AUUCCACAUUCCCAACAUGAGCUAACGCAUUGGAAAACUAUGCCAAUUCCUGUGCACACUCAACGAGCCUCUUUCUCUUCUCUAAAAUCCUUCACUCUGACCUAACCCCCUCUCUCUCCCUUUUCUCUCACACCCAUUCUCUUAACGCCACCAUCGACCUAUCCCACCCAAAUUGUGAGACCCUUUCUUCAAAUCCUCUUUAUCUUAUCAAAGAAGAGGUCUUCUUCUUCCAAAUCGCAAAUCCUUCUCUGGUUAUAACCUUCUCCGUCUUCGCCGUCAAAAAGAUUUCAUCUUCGCAUUCAGAGAUUUUGUUCGCGUGCGUGUGAUUUUCACCUGUUGGAGGUUUUGGAGAGUUUCAUCUUUGCUAUCAGAGAUUUUCUGAGUUUCAUCUUCGCUGCCGCUAAUGUCUUGGUAAUGUUGUUAGCAACUGUGAAAGGAAUCGAGAGCUUCUAGGCCGGCGGAUUCAGCUGUGAAUUUUCUCCUCCGGCCUCCUCUCUAGGUCUCUCCUUCCCGUUGCCUCUUCCGCUUCCCGUUCAUUCAACACCAACGCCAUGCGCCAGUACGAUUUCCUCGCACUCGCCGCGACGAUUUCCUCUCAGGUAGUUGUUAUCACUCUUUUACUCAAUUUCCCUAUUUCAUUUAAUUGAUUUGAUUAACUAAUACAAUACAUUCCUUUAUGCUUCACGUGGAAUUGGAGUCGGUGGAGUUCGACGAGGUUGGGAUGCGAAAGAGACAUAGGGUUCUUUGCUUUUUCGCUUGGAUAUACCUGGACCUGGCACUGAAUUUUUUAAACAGGUGUGGAGGCAGCUAGAGAAAGGUAGAGGUGGAUGUAAUGUUGUUCUAUGGUUUGUUCUUCUCCAAUGGAGGAGGUAAUCGCGGAGCAUCUGGAUUCUUCCAUGCCUCGAGAUAGCAUUACGGUGGCGAUUCAAUUUCAAACGUUGAGGUGUUGUUCGACCGAAGUGAAAGAGAGUAUAUGUGAGGGGAUGAGUUUGUGUCGUAUGCAAUUUACUAACCUAACCUGUCAUGCUUUUCACCCCCUUUGCCUCCACUUCAAUCCUUGACAGAAACUCCAACCUGAUACCUAUUCUCUUUGGGAAAACUCAAUGAAUCAAUUUUGUAGGUUUGAAUUAAUGUCAUUAUGCAGUAGAUGUUCACUAUUGCUUUAAAAUUCUCUGAACUUUAUGAGAUAUGUCACUUGAUAAGGGUGAACUUGGGCGUCAUCGUGAUGUGAUGGGAUAAAACUGCAAGUGCACGGUUCUAUCGAAGUAGUAAAAAGAUAGUAUCGUUUCGAUAGGGAGUUGUUUAAUUCAAUUAACUUUAGUUGAUGAUUAGAGAGAGUUCAAUUUGCAAAGUUGGGGUUUUUAAAGGUUGAGAAUAAUAGUAAAAGAGAGCCUUGGGAUCAUUGGUUCGUCAUGGUGACAAACCCUUCACAAACCAAACUAUUAAACCUAUAACAUUAUGUUAGACCUAACUUCUAAAGACAAGUUUCUCUUAUA